rnacentral:rRNA from 1 species
AACGAACGCUGGCGGCAUGCCUAACACAUGCCAGUCGAACGAGACCUUCGGGUCUAGUGGCGCACGGGUGCGUAACGCGUGGGAACCUGCCCUUAGGUUCGGAAUAACUCCCCGAAAGGGGUGCUAAUACCGGAUAAUGUCUUCGGACCAAGGAUUUAUCGCCUUUGGAUGGGCCCGCGUUGGAUUAGCUAGUUGGUAGGGUAAAAGCCUACCAAGGCGACGAUCCAUAGCUGGUCUGAGAGGAUGAUCAGCCACACUGGGACUGAGACACGGCCCAGACUCCUACGGGAGGCAGCAGUGGGGAAUAUUGGACAAUGGGCGAAAGCCUGAUCCAGCAAUGCCGCGUGAGUGAUGAAGGCCUUAGGGUUGUAAAGCUCUUUUACCCGGGAUGAUAAUGACAGUACCGGGAGAAUAAGCUCCGGCUAACUCCGUG